UACAGAGGUCUCAAGCGUUGUUCGGAUUCAUUGGGCGUAAAGGGUGUGUAGGCGGCGAGGCAAGUCUGGUGUGAAAUCCCGGGGCUCAACCCCGGAACUGCACUGGAUACUGCUUUGCUAGAGUACUGGAGAGGGAACUGGAAUUUACGGUGUAGCAGUGAAAUGCGUAGAUAUCGUAAGGAAGACCAGCGGCGAAGGCGAGUUCCUGGACAGUUACUGACGCUGAGGCACGAAGGCCAGGGGAGCAAACGGG
rnacentral:rRNA from 1 species